rnacentral:rRNA from 1 species
UAAGGGCUCUUUCAAAAAAAAAAGGGGGAAGGGGAGAGACCACAGCUCAAAUUUCAACCUGCCCCCCAGGUCGAGUUGUUUACUGUUGGUGGUAUCUUGGGAGGGGGUUGCCCCUUGUUGUUGCACCGCGCGACAGAGGGUGACAGCCCCGUAAAAUCUAUUCCCAUUGUAAGCCAAUCCCAAAUAAGUUAUUUUUUUGGAAAUGAGUUUUUAAGGGGCGCUUCUUUUCUUUCUAAAGUUUAUAUUGUAAAGAAUCCGAUAGCGAACAAUUCCUGUGAAGGACAGCUGAAAAGCACUUUGAAAAGAGAGUGAAAAAGUCCGUGAAAUUGGUAAAUUGAAAGGUUAGUGAGUCAAACUUGUUGCUUCUGUUCAACAUUGUGUCGGCAUUGUUCCCUGAGGACUCUUAGGCCAAUUUUUAUUUUUUGGUAGUAAAAAAGAUUCGGAACGUAACUUUUCGAAUUUUAUAUCCGCGUUUUAGCUCUCCGGGCGUCCUACGUUUGCGGUUCGAGGCUACCUUGUUUUAAAGAUUGUUACCGCCCGUUGUAAUACCCGCCCCCAAAAA